CACACCGCCCGUCACAUCACGAAAGUCAGUUGUACCGGAAGCCGGUGCGCUAACCUCCGGGAGGCAGCCGUCCAUGGUAUGACUGGCGAUUGGGGUG
rnacentral:rRNA from 1 species